rnacentral:rRNA from 1 species
AGUAGGGCGGGACACGUGUUAUCCUGUCUGAAUAUGGGGGGACCAUCCUCCAAGGCUAAAUACUCCUGACUGACCGAUAGUGAACCAGUACCGUGAGGGAAAGGCGAAAAGAACCCCUGUGAGGGGAGUGAAAUAGAACCUGAAACCGUGUACGUACAAGCAGUAGGAGCACCUUCGUGGUGUGACUGCGUACCUUUUGUAUAAUGGGUCAGCGACUUAUAUUCAGUGGCAAGGUUAACCAUCUAGGGGAGCCGUAGGGAAACCGAGUCUUAACUGGGCGCCAUAGUCUCUGGAUAUAGACCCGAAACCGAGUGAUCUAGCCAUGGGCAGGUUGAAGGUUGAGUAACAUCAACUGGAGGACCGAACCGACUAAUGUUGAAAAAUUAGCGGAUGACUUGUGGCUAGGGGUGAAAGGCCAAUCAAACUCGGAGAUAGCUGGUUCUCCCCGAAAGCUAUUUAGGUAGCGCCUCGGACGAAUACUACUGGGGGUAGAGCACUGUUAAGGCUAGGGGGUCAUCCCGACUUACCAACCCUUUGCAAACUCCGAAUACCAGUAAGUACUAUCCGGGAGACACACGGCGGGUGCUAACGUCCGUCGUGGAGAGGGAAACAACCCAGACCGCCAGCUAAGGUCCCAAAUUACAGCUAAGUGGGAAACGAUGUGGGAAGGCUUAGACAGCUAGGAUGUUGGCUUAGAAGCAGCCAUCAUUUAAAGAAAGCGUAAUAGCUCACUAGUCGAGUCGGCCUGCGCGGAAGAUGUAACGGGGCUAAGUUGUAAACCGAAGCUGCGGCAAUGUUCUUUGAACAUUGGGUAGGGGAGCGUUCUGUAAGCCGUUGAAGGUGUGUUGUAAAGCAUGCUGGAGGUAUCAGAAGUGCGAAUGCUGACAUGAGUAACGACAAGGGGGGUGAAAAACCUCCCCGCCGGAAGACCAAGGGUUCCUGUCCAACGUUAAUCGGGGCAGGGUAAGUCGACCCCUAAGGCGAGGCUGAAAAGCGUAGUCGAUGGGAAACGGGUUAAUAUUCCCGUACUUCUUACAAUUGCGAUGGGGGGACGGAGAAGGCUAGGUGGGCCUGGCGACGGUUGUCCAGGUUCAAGUGCGUAGGCU